rnacentral:rRNA from 1 species
GAUGAACGCUGGCGGCGUGCCUAAUACAUGCAAGUCGAACGGAAGGGCGCUGAGCUUGUUUUUCUGAUGUUAGGGGCAGACGGGAGAGUCACGCGUGGAUACCCUACCUAUAAUACUGAUAUAAUCUCGGAAAACCGGAGCUAACCCGAUAGGAUAUUUUGAACCACAGUGUGGAAAGGAGAAAUUCGGUCGUUCUGGAUGGUAUCGCUGGAUCCCGGCUGGAUUAGCUAGUUGGUAGGGUAACGGCUUAUCAAGGCAACGAGGCAUAGCCGAACUGCGGGGGUGAUCGGCCACCCUGGAACUGAGACACGGUCCAGACUCCUACGGGAGGCAGCAGUAGGGAAUCUUCCGCAAUGGGCGAAAGCCUGACGGAGCAACGCCGCGUGAGUGAUGAAGGUCUUCGGAUCGUAAAACUCUGUUAUUAGGGAAGAACAUAUGUGUAAGUAACUGUGCACAUCUUGACGGUACCUAAUCAGAAAGCCACGGCUAACUACGUG